UACGGAGGGUGCAAGCGUUGUCCGGAUUUAUUGGGUUUAAAGGGUGCGUAGGCGGCAGAUUAAGUCAGCGGUGAAAUUCCACAGCUCAACUGUGGAACUGCCAUUGAUACUGGUUUGCUUGAGUACAGAUAAGGUAGGCGGAAUUGACAGUGUAGCGGUGAAAUGCUUAGAUAUUGUCAAGAACACCUAUUGCGAAGGCAGCUUACUAAGCUGUAACUGACGCUGAGGCACGAAAGCGUGGGGAUCAAACAGG
rnacentral:rRNA from 1 species